CAUCUAGAAAAUAUUUUCACAGUGACAUCUAGAGUGGUGUGUAACCAAAUAUCCGGGCACUGUGGCCUAGCCGAAUUGUCGUGUACAAUUAGCCAUCACGAUGCCUGUUUGUUAUUCUACACUGUACUUCUGUCCACAGCAGCAGGGCCGUGUGCAAGGUGCCCACCAGCUGACUGCCGUCCCUGGAGCACGCCCUCACGGAUGAGAGUAGCCGGUGGUCACUUUGGAGAGCAGUGGUCCUGCCAGAGAGAACAGGACCACAGGCGGGACGUUUCACCGAGGACAGAGCCGGGCAGUGUCUGGAGCCUGAGGGGCGUGGUGGCCGGGCGUCAGUGAGUUCUGGAAACAGGAAGGCCGAUGCCAGCGUGCCACUGAGAAGGUCAUCUAAGUCCAGCUCAAGGUCAUCAAAACCCACGGUUGCUGCAGUCAUAGAAGAGGACCCCAAGCAGUGGAUUAGUUCUGCCUUCUUCCGCCAAGCGAGGAAUACUGGCAGUGAAAUCCAGUUGAACCAGCUACAGUGGAGAGUCUUGCUUGCUGACCUUACUGGCCUCUGGGUGAGGGUGGGACUCACCACCACGGACGACCUACAUUUCACCAACUUUGCCCCCUGCCAUCUCAGGCUAGGACACUGGCCUCUGAGGGCUCCUUGCCAAGUGUGCUUGGACUCAGGGACUCCCACACAGCGGGAAAUUGGCUCCUUUGUGUGACUGGCUCAGGACAGACGGCUGCUUCCAUGGUAUCCGCCAGACAUAUGGGACCAUCCUCCACCUCGGAGCCCUCCACAGCCCCCAGGUUCCAGCUGUGGUGACUGGCAGGAGGCUGCUGCAGACCCUGGGCUGCCCAGGUGGCCCCAGAUCUCAAAGCUUCUCUGGACGGACUGCAUGGCGCUCCCUCUGGGCCACAGAGCGUGCCCCCUGCCUCCCAGGCCAAGCCAACGCUCCCUUUGUCUGCCAGGAAGCGAGUUCUUCAGCUCUUGCCAGAGAGCCUCUGGCAGACCAGAGACCCCUGCUCACCUCUCCAGGCACCUGGGCAGAAAGCCCUUCUUCGUUCUCUUUCAGCCUAAACAAAUCAACCUGCCGAGGCCAAGCCUAUAUGAAACACAUGGAGGUCGCACAGUUCAUCCGCUGUGCCCAAAUGUGGGUAGACUCGGGUUUGGGACCUGCUAAGAGCCUCCCUUUGGAGAGGUAGCUGGUGGUGUCAGGACUCCCUCCCGAGCACUGACUGGCUUUGUUAUCUGGGGCCAGUGACGGCGUCUCUCUGUUCCUUUUGUUUCCUGUCCACCAGACGUAAAUAAUGGCAACCCAACCUCAUAGGGUAGUUGUAGACUGAAAUGUGUUAAUUGUGCAAAGAUUAAAUGUGUUUAUCCAUGCA
rnacentral:lncRNA from 1 species